rnacentral:lncRNA from 1 species
AGAACUGGCCCCUGGGAUUUGCUGCUCAGAACCUGAGUUCACUGAGACAUCAGGAGCAAGCACUGGAGGCCGGGUGCUGCUGGACCCAGAUGGGAGCCAUGCAGGACUUGACCAUGGCCUGCACACACUUCUUCCCAGGAGAAGGGGAAUGAGGAAGAACUAGAUCCUAAGAGCAGAAGACAAUCAUAUGUCCUGAGAACCCAUUGGAGGUUGAACAGCGCUGGGUGGAUGGAGAAAGGCAGAAAUGCAGAAUUUCGUCAUUGCCUGGAUGCUGACUUUAUCCAAAGAGAAGAUGCAUGAGGAGUGUACAUGCCUCAGAACUGGAUGCUGAGACAUGCCCCCGCGAUCCCAAGACCACCAGGUACCGUGAGCAAUCACUGGAGCUGGAACACUGCUGCCUGAGGAAGAGAAGAAGUGCAGGCUUGUCAUUGUCUAUGCUGUUACUUGUGGUUCCCGGGUCUUCAGAGAGGAUGCACAAGAACGGGAGAACCGGCCCCUGGGAUUUGCUGCUCAGGACCCGAGUUCACUGAGACAUCAGGAGCAAGCACUGGAGGCCGGUGCUGCUGGAUCCAGAUGGGAGCCAUGCAGGACUUGACCAUGGCCUGCACACACUUCUUCCCAGGAGAAGGGGAAUGAGGAAGGCAGACUGGCAUCACAGGACCCUUCAGAGUAUUAAUGCAGACCUUCGUGACAGAGGUCCAGUACCAAGUGCUCAGCGGUGCUAAGGUCCAGGGACAGGAGGCAGAAGGGCGGGUUCCAGCCCGCUCAGCUGGCCAUGAACCGGCCCCUGGGAUUUGCUGCUCAGGACCCGAGUUCAGUGAGACAUCAGGAGCAAGCACUGGAGGCCGGUGCUGCUGGACCCAGAUGGGAGCCAUGCAGGACUUGACCAUGGCCUGCACACACUUCUUCCCAGGAGAAGGGGAAUGAGGAAGAACUGGACCAGAAGAUUUAACUUCCAUACCACAAGCACUGGGGUAGAAGACUGCUGCUGGGUGAAGAAGAGACUAGACUUGAUCAUUGAGCAGCCACUCACUGAUAUCUUCAGUGCUGCAUGAGGAAGCAGAGUUUAUUCUUCUGGAUUUGGUGGUGGAUUCUGGUGAAGAUACAGAUGGAUGCUCUGGCUGAGUCGCUACCUUGAAAUGAAAAUGGGAGGUAAACUCUCCCAUAGAUGAAUCUUCUUCAUUUUGAAGGACUGGCCCCUGGGAUUUUCUGCUCAGGACCCGAGUUCACUGAGACAUCAGGAGCAAGCACUGGAGGCCGGUGCUGCUGGACCCAGAUGGGCGCCAUGCAGGACUUGACCAUGGCCUGCACACACUUCUUCCCAGGAGAAGGGGAAUGAGGAAAGUGGGGGGCCUCAAAGCUUCCUUUCCUUUCUGUUUGUCUUGCUAUGUUUUUAUAUUCCUUUUUAUCCAUUUAAUUAUUUAGUACAAAAUCAGGUCCAGUCUCCUUAGAUAUGGCAUUGAUAUAAAGUGUAAAAUGGAAGCUAAAUUCUAGGAGUACAGCAUUGCAUGCUUCUGACAGAGACAAGGAAGGCUAGAAUCACACAGUUAGUGGACACUGCAACUAUAUUGACAUUUUUUUUUUUUUAGACUGUGAAGGUGGGGACAGAUUGCUGCACUCAGAACACCUUCCCUGCUCUGGGGAAACAAACACUGUCAUCAUGGGGAAAAUGUUUCCUGUAGACCCACACAAGCACACACCCCUCCUCCUACAUCCAGCUUCUCCUCAGCCAUUUUGAAGCAGGGAAGAUCAGGGGGAUUCAUGAAUGGCGAAAUUUGGCCUUUUUUAGUGUAUUUCUCUCCUUCUGUAGGCAGACUGGCAUCACCUGACCCUUCAGAGUAUUAACUCAGACCCUGGUGACUGAGGUCCAGUACCAAGUGCUCAGCUGGGCUGCGGUGCAGGGACAGGAAGCAGAAGGGCAGAUUCAACCCCCCUCAGCUGGCCAUGCUAAUCUACUAGCUGGUGUCCUAGGGCAGCAAGGCGCCUCCCUCUCCAGGAUCUGAUGAGAAAACACUGCAGUUCCAGUUUCUUUCGGGGCUUGAAGAGAAGUCAAGGAAGCCCUGCAAGGCACUCACAGCUGAUCAUGCUUUCUGUAAUCGCCCUCCAUCUUCCUUCAUUGCUAGGAAUCAUUGGAAGGACAACAGCGGAGCUGUGAGUUUUGAAACCGCGUCCUCAUGGGGGCAGUAGAGGUCCACACAAGAGCUUAACUGGCCCCUGGGAUUUGCUGCUCAGAACCUGAGUUCACUGAGACAUCAGGAGCAAGUACUGGAGGCCGGUGCUGCUGGACCCAGAUGGGAGCCAUGCGGGACUUGACCAUGGCCUGCACACACUUCUUCCCAGGAGAAGGGGAGUGAGGAAGAACCGGCCCCUGGGAUUUGCUGCUCAGGACCCGAGUUCACUGAGACAUCAGGAGCAAGCACUGGAGGCCGGGUGCUGCUGGACCCAGAUGGGAGCCAUGCAGGACUUGACCAUGGCCUGCACACACUUCUUCCCAGGAGAAGGGGAAUGAGGAAGGUGGGGGCCUCAAGGCUUCCUUUCCUCUCUUUUUGGCUUGUUAUGCUUUUAUAUUUCUUUUUAUCCAUAUGAUUAUUUAGUACAAAAGCAGGUCCAGCCUCCUUACAUAUGGCAUUGAUAUAAAAUGCAAAACAGAAGCUAAAUUCUAGGAAUACAGCAUUGCAAGCUUCUGACACAGACAAGGAAGGCUAGAACUGCACAGUUAGUGGACACUACCUCUGUAUUGACAUUUUUUUCAGUCUGUGAAGGCGGGGACAGAGAGCUGCAGCCAGGACACCUUCCCUGCUCUGGGGCAACACUGCCAUCAUGGGAAAAUGUUUUCUGUAGACCAGCUGAGGCACACACCCCUCCUCCAUCCUGCUUCUCCUCAGCCAUUUUGAAGCAGGGAGGAUGAGGGGGAUUCAUGAAUGGCGAAGCUUGCCCAUUUUACUGUAUUUCUCUCCUACUGUGGGCAGACUGGCAUCACCCGACCCUUCAGAGUAUUAAUGCAGACCUUCGUGACAGAGGUCCAGUACCAAGUGCGCAGCUGUGCUGAGGUCCAGGGACAGAAAGCAGAUGGGCAGAUUCAACCCCCCUCAGCUGGCCAUGCUAAUCUACUAGCUGGUGUCCUAGGGCAGCAGGGUGCCUCCCUCUCCAGGUUCUGAUGAGAAAACACUGCAGUCCCAGUUUCUUUCGGGGCUUGAAGAGAAGUCAAGGAAGCCCUGCAAGGCACUCACAGCUGAUCAUGCUGUCUGUAAUUGGCUGCCAUCUUCUGCCAUUGCUAGGAAUCAUGGGAAGGAGGACAUGUGGUGCUGUGACUUCUGAAACUAUUUUCCUCAUGAUGGCAGUUGUGCUCCACAAAAGAUCUUUUGAUUGUUUCCCCCCCCUCCCCGCUUCCUGUGUGAAAAAUUAUCAAGGAGAAUAUAGGUACCAAGGAAGAUUGGUUCGGUGAACUUUGCCUGUCCUCGAAUCGGUUCAGGGAUGGUUUGUUUUGUUUUUUGUUUUUGUUUUUUUGUUUUCUUGUUUUCCUUCUGAAGUCAUUCUGAGUCCUCAUUCUACCCUAGGUUGUAGGCCAUUUCCUUUUCUACAGCUGUUCAUACUCACCCUUUUUAGCUACUUAAUUUUGCUCUUGAUUGUCUAGUCUUAUUCAUUGGUUACAAUUUUCACACAGGAAAGGUAGUCUAGGAGCUUCGAAAGGAAAGCUUUUUUCAUGCAGGGUGAUUGGUAUUGCUGAGGGCUAACAACCCUUGCCUACCGUAUCCUAGAGCCUGGGUUUGCUCCCCAGGACUGAAAUGGGCACUGUUUGUCAUACAUAAUUAUGCAGCAGGGAAAUUCUCAGUGGUAAUAUUGUAAAACCAACCAAACAAAAAAACCCCCAAAACCAGUCAUGGCAGUAAGCUGUGAUCAGGAUGGAAUUGUAGAAAAGCAUUCAUGGGCUUCUCUCCUUCCUUUUAGUGUUGCCCCCUCCUCUCUGUCACUAAACCCCACUCCAUGUUCCUAGUGUCCCUCUUUUCUCCUCUCCUUCUAUGUACACCCAAAGGCAGAAAUACAGUUCUACAUUGGCUAGCCUAUAUGUCCUUUAAAAGUGUUCUCUCUCAUGAACAAUCUCUGCUUUAUUUCAUUUCCAAUUAAAUGCACACAUAUACCAAGCUGUUAAUGGUGCUUGCUUUGGGUAAUGAUAUUUACAAUAAAGUUUUCAUUUGUUCAUCCUUGAUGUGAAGAUUGGAAAGGUAAUUGAAGAAGCUGAGCUUUGUGGUUUUCGUGAUCCAUCCCUGUAACCCCAGCACUCAGUGUAGGAUCACGGUAGCCCCGAGGCCUCGAACAACCUGGCCAGCCUACACAUUGGCCUCUGAUGGUUUUUUAUUUUAUUCAUUCGCAGAAAGGCUCAUGGCGUCUAUGUCGUAAAUGAGCUGUGGAUUUGCUAUGCCCCUUCUCUUCAGCAACCCUUAUUUUUCUUGCCUGUACAUCUCUACUGUGGGAAUCACAGGGAAGCUGCUGCAGCACAACUUGAAAUAGAAAGCUGGAUGGUAUGAAUUUAGGACAAGAACAUGAGAAGAAGGGCUCCAGAGAGGAUUCAUUAAGAGCAUUUUCUGCUCUUCCAGAAGCAUCCGAGUUUGGUGUGGGCACCCAAGUCAUUAGGCUCAGAGCUGCUUGGCACCAGGAGAUGUCAGGAAGCUGGUAUAAAUCCUCAUGGGACUUGAAGGGCGAGUGGCCUGAAGUGGGUCACAAGUGAUCAGGGAUUCUCAAACUGCUGUUCCCAGCUUGCAUUUAAAAAUGGGAAAUAACUCAAAAGACAAUUGCAAACUCUCUGCAGUCAAGAUGGCUCCUGCUUGUAAUCUCAGUGUUCAGAAGGUCUGGAUCCCCUAGGGUUGCCACCAGGAUCACCAGAAAGUUUGUUAAAUAGAGAAGCACUUGAUAGAAGGCACCUGGAUAAGGAUGGACAGAAAUCAGAGGCCUUGGCUAUCUGGAUUCUGACUUCUUCAAAAAGAUGAGAUGAUAGAUGAGAAAAGCCCGUCCGUGGUGUUAGAGACUUUGGCCCCACACCCAUGCCGUGCAGCUCUGCCAGGGCCUACCUGCUUGACUCAACCCUUUUUGUUCCCUCACCCUCUCUGGGUAACUGAGAGAUUUAUACCUUGGCUAUCCUGGGAAUGUCUUUCUAAACUAAUAAAAUUGUUCUUGAGUUUCCUUCUGAGUCAUUUCGUAAAUUAUUGUAUUAAUGAGACUAAGAACCUUUAGAAGGGCUCCCAGUU